ACGGGGUGCAGCAGGCGCGAAACCUUUACACUGCACGACAGUGCGAUAGGGGGAUUCCGAGUGCGAGGGCAUACAGUCCUCGCUUUUCUGGACCGUAAGGAGGUCCAAGAAUAAGGGCUGGGCAAGACCGGUGCCAGCCGCCGCGGUAAUACCGGCAGCCCGAGUGAUGGCCGAUAUUAUUGGGCCUAAAGCGUCCGUAGCUGGCCAGACAAGUCCGUUGGGAAAUCCACGCGCUCAACGCGUGGGCGUCCAGCGGAAACUGCCUGGCUUGGGGCCGGAGGACUCGAGGGGUACGUCCGGGGUAGGAGUGAAAUCCCGUAAUCCUGGACGGACCACCGGUGGCGAAAGCGCCUCGAGAGGACGGACCCGACAGUGAGGGACGAAAGCCAGGGUCUCGAACCGGAUUAGAUACCCCUGUAGUCC
rnacentral:rRNA from 1 species